rnacentral:rRNA from 1 species
AGUGAACGCUGGCGGUAGGCCUAACACAUGCAAGUCGAACGGCAGCACAGUAAGAGCUUGCUCUUACGGGUGGCGAGUGGCGGACGGGUGAGGAAUACAUCGGAAUCUACUUUUUCGUGGGGGAUAACGUAGGGAAACUUACGCUAAUACCGCAUACGACCUACGGGUGAAAGCAGGGGAUCUUCGGACCUUGCGCGAUUGAAUGAGCCGAUGUCGGAUUAGCUAGUUGGCGGGGUAAAGGCCCACCAAGGCGACGAUCCGUAGCUGGUCUGAGAGGAUGAUCGGCCACACUGGAACUGAGACACGGUCCAGACUCCUACGGGAGGCAGCAGUGGGGAAUAUUGGACAAUGGGCGCAAGCCUGAUCCAGCCAUACCGCGUGGGUGAAGAAGGCCUUCGGGUUGUAAAGCCCUUUUGUUGGGAAAGAACAGCAGCAGGUUAAUACCCCGCUGUUCUGACGGUACCCAAAGAAUAAGCACCGGCUAACUUCGUG